rnacentral:rRNA from 1 species
UGGGGGCACCCUGAUGGAGCAACGCCGCGUGAAGGAUGAAGGUCUUCGGAUUGUAAACUUCUUUUAUAAGUGAAGAAUAUGACUGUAACUUAUGAAUAAGCACCGGCUAACUACGUGCCAGCAGCCGCGGUAAU